rnacentral:pre_miRNA from 1 species
UAUAAGGGAUUUUGAGUUUUUGCUUGCAAUGUUUGACCACUCGUCUUAUUCAAAAAAUUUUGAAAUUAUUAUUUAUUUUAUUUGUGACUUACUUUAUUAUCUACAGUACUUUAAGCACAACUUUUUGUUUUUUAUAUUUGGAGAAAAAAAUUUGAAUAAGACGAGUGGUUAAACAUUGCAAGUAAAAACUCAAAAUCCCUUAUA